GGUCUCUUAGCUCAGUUGGUUAGAGCGUCGUGCUAAUAGGAAUCAAACCUUGUAACGCGAAGGCCAGAGGUUCGAGCCCUCUAUGGACCA
rfam:Arthrobotrys oligospora ATCC 24927 unplaced genomic scaffold scaffold00079, whole genome shotgun sequence.